rnacentral:rRNA from 1 species
CUACGGGUGGCACCAGUGGGGAAUAUUGCACAAUGGGCGCAAGCCUGAUGCAGCCAUGCCGCGUGUAUGAAGAAGGCCUUCGGGUUGUAAAGUACUUUCAGCGGGGAGGAAGGGAGUAAAGUUAAUACCUUUGCUCAUUGACGUUACCCGCAGAAGAAGCACCGGCUAACUCCGUGCCAGCAGCCGCGGUAAUACGGAGGGUGCAAGCAUUAAUCGGAAUUACUGGGCGUAAGGCGCACGCAGGCGGUUUGUUAAGUCAGAUGUGAAAUCCCCGGGCUCAACCUGGGAACUGCAUCUGAUACUGGCAAGCUUGAGUCUCGUAGAGGGGGGUAGAAUUCCAGGUGUAGCGGUGAAAUGCGUAGAGAUCUGGAGGAAUACCGGUGGCGAAGGCGGCCCCCUGGACGAAGACUGACGCUCAGGUGCGAAAGCGUGGGGAGCAAACAGGAUUAGAUACCCGGGUAGUC